UUUUCCACCAGCUUGAGCCAAUGUACAGAACCCAAUGGUGUCAAGAUUUAUGAUUGUCUUUUGUUGGGGUUUUAUUCAUGUUUAUAUUUGAACUGGAAUGAGUUUGGCAUAAUUGUAAAUAUCUGUAAUUUAACCCUUAAAAUUUUCACAGAAAAAAAAGAAAUAAAUCUGUUUCUGCAUCAAUAUAAGAGAUAUCUGAAUCCAGUGUCCCAGCCGCUAGUCUCAAACUUAGACCCCAAUAAAAUACAAGUUCCUGUCCCUGAAAACAUUUUAAGCAAGAAAUUUCCAUUAUUUAUCAACUUGCCAAAUACUAAAGCUGUCGCAAGCUGUUUUCUGCUUUUCUUUCUUUUUUGGUUCUUUCCUUACAUUGAGUCCAAAGCAAGGGACACUCUUAUCAACGUGCUACAGGGGAAUACUUUUAUAUUUGAAGUGUUUGUUUUAUAAAUGAUUGUAAAUGAAAGCUCUAGUAGAGUUUCUGUGGGCUGAGGGUGGGAGAGAGAGAUGUGAACAUGUCUUUGGUUUUAUGAAAUUACGUCUUAAGCAUCUUAGAUAACAACUGUAAAUCAGUAAAUGUUCAUUGUACUGACUUCACAUUUCCUGUCUCAUGAUUUCUGGGUGUGGAGAAAAAAAAAGAAAAGAAAAACACUGGUCUGUGAGAGAGCACUGUCUUUAUUGCACAAUGCAUAUUUAUCAAUCAUAUGUUAUAAGUAUUUAAAGGAAUAGUUCACCCAAAAGUGAAAAGGCCAUCCAAGUUUGUUUCUUCAUCUCAACAGAGUUUAUAUUUGAAGUGUUUGUUUUAUAAAUGAUUGUAAAUGAAAGCUCUAGUAGAGUUUCUGUGGGCUGAGGGUGGGAGAGAGAGAUGUGAACAUGUCUUUGGUUUUAUGAAAUUACGUCUUAAGCAUCUUAGAUAACAACUGUAAAUCAGUAAAUGUUCAUUGUACUGACUUCACAUUUCCUGUCUCAUGAUUUCUGGGUGUGGAGAAAAAAAAGAAAAGAAAAACACUGGUCUGUGAGAGAGCACUGUCUUUAUUGCACAAUGCAUAUUUAUCAAUCAUAUGUUAUAAGUAUUUAAAGGAAUAGUUCACCCAAAAGUGAAAAGGCCAUCCAAGUUUGUUUCUUCAUCUCAACAGAUUUGGAGAAGUUUAGCAUUACAUCACUUGCUCACAAUUCUCUUCAGCGAAUGGGUGCAGUCAGAAUGAGUGUUUAAACUUGUGGAUUAUUGUGAUGUUUUUAUCAGUUUGGACUCUCGUUCUGACGGCACCCAUUCGCUGCAGAGGAUCCAUUGAUGAGCAAUAGACCUAUGGCUAAAUAUCUCCAAAUCUGUUCAGAUGAAGAAAAAAAUUUAUCUACAUCUUGGAUGGCCUGAGGGCGAGUACAUUUUCAGCAAAUCUUCUAUUCCUUUCCAGGUCUUCUGUUUACAGUAAUCAAAACAUUAAAGUAAUACUUUGCAAGCUCAUAAAGGAAAACACAAGUAUCGAAAAUAAUUUCCUCCUCAUCACCAAAUAAUAUCUUCAUGCAUCUCUGAUAAACAUUGUGCGAGAUGACCAUCACAUUGCAUUUGGGUGAACCUGAAAAAAACAAAACCCGUUUUUAACAAUAGUGAGCAACACAAACACGCACACAAUCCAAC
ensembl:lncRNA